UACGUAUGGGGCAAGCGUUAUCCGGAAUUAUUGGGCGUAAAGAGUGCGUAGGUGGUUACCUAAGCGCAAGGUUUAAUCUUGAGGCUCAACCUCAUUCUGCCUUGCGAACUGGGCUACUUGAGUGCAGGAGGGGAAAGCGGAAUUCCUAGUGUAGCGGUGAAAUGCGUAGAUAUUAGGAGGAACACCAGUGGCGAAGGCGGCUUUCUGGACGAUAACUGACGCUGAGGCGCGAAAGCGUGGGGAGCAAACAGGAUUAGAUACCCGGGUAGUCCCUGA
rnacentral:rRNA from 1 species